rnacentral:lncRNA from 1 species
UCCGUCCCCGACCGCGGCGGCCACGCUCCGGCCUCGACCGCUACCGCCCCGCUCCGUCUCCGACGAUCUUCCUCGCCGCCGGCUAUAGGCCACACCAACGAUCUUCCUCGCCGCCGGCUACUGCCUGCAACUCCAAGCCUCCAAGGUUCAUUUUUUGUAGUUGCAAAUCUCCAAAGAUGUAAUGAUAUGGUGCUGUUAGGAUGGAUAUGUGUUGUUAGGAUGGACUGGAGUAUGGGGUAGAUGGUGCUGUUGAAAAUUGCAAACAUGUAGUUCAGAUGGCUAUACUAUGAUGCGGUAGUAAUACUAAUACUUGUGCUGUUUGCGUAUGAUGCGGUAGUAACAUGUUGUUGUAUGUAUAUGUUGCAGUUUGAUCAUGAUGAAUUCAAGAGAAUUAGAAGGACCGGAGGGUGAUGAACCAGAGUACCAUCCGGAAGAAUUAGAAGGGCAGGACGGACCAAUGGAAUUGUUUAUUGUACCUGCCGAUCCUCCUCGAACUCGGCAGAAACGUGCAAGAGCAAGGGGAAAACAGGCAACAACUGAUGUUCAUGGAGAUGAAGGAAGUGUACCAACAACACAACAUGCAGAACCUACUGCCAAUGGGGCAAAACCGCAGCCGCAACCUACUACUUCCAAACUGAAGAAGUCAAAGGUAUGGCUUGACUUCACCAAGAUCUCGAAAGAUGGUGCUGAGAUUUCUGUAGCUCAAUGCAACCAUUGCGACUCUAAACUGUCGACUAAAUCGACAAAUGGCACAUCUCAUCUCCUUAGACACAUUGAAAGUAAGCAUAAGAUUGAACAAGCGACAAUAAAUAAUUUUUUCUUGAAAUCUGAAACAAAUGAUGAUGGAACAGCUGCAUUAAAAAUGGUAGAUUUGAUGCCCAAGUUGCUAGAAAUUCGGUCUCUAUUUAUCUUGUAUCCGGUGCUCAUCCAUUUACAACAGUUGAAGAAGAUGGAUUUAGAACAAUGAUGUCUGCUUGUUGUCCACAAUUCAAGUCUAUUGGUCGGCACACAAUAAAAAGAGAGAUAAUGGCAAUGUUUGUGUUGGGGAACGUAGCAGAAAUUCAAAAUUUUCCUACGUGUCACCAAGAUCUAUCUAUGGAGAGACCAGCAACGAGGGGAAGGAGAGUGCAUCUACAUACCCUUGUAGAUCGCUAAGCGGAAGCGUUCAAGUGAACGGGGUUGAUGGAGUCGUACUCAUCGUGAUUCAGAUCACCGAUGAUCCUAGUGCCGAACGGACGGCACCUCCACGUUCAACACACGUACAGCCCGGUGACGUCUCCCACGCCUUGAUCCAGCAAGGAGAGAGGGAGAGGUUGAGGAAGACUCCAUCCAGCAGCAGCACAACGGCGUGGUGGUGGUGGAGGAGCGUGGCAAUCCUGCAGGGCUUCGCCAAGCACCACGGGAGAGGAGAAGGAGUUAGGAGAGAGGGAGGGGCUGCACCAAAGGCAUAAGGGGUUCCUCAAGAGGCCCUCUACCCCCACUAUAUAUAGGGAUCCCAAGGGGGGGUGCGCCAGCCCUAGGAGAUCCAAUACCGAUGACCCCGAAACUUGUCCCGAUGGCCGAAACAUGACUUCCUAUAUAUAAAUCUUUACCUGCGGACCAUUCCGGAACUCCUCGUGACGUCCGGUAUCUCAUCCAGGACUCCGAACAACAUUCGGUAACCACAUACAAGCUUCCUUUAUAACCCUAGCGUCAUCAAACCUUAAGUGUGUAGACCCUACGGGUUCGGGAGACAUGUAGUCAUGACCAAGACGUUCUCCGGUCAAUAACCAACAGCGGGAUCUGGAUACCCAUGUUGGCUCCCACAUGUUCCACGAUGAUCUCAUUGGAUGAACCACGAUGUCAAGGACUCAAUCAAUCCCGUAUACAAUUCCCUUUGUCUAGCGGUAUGGUACUUGCCCGAGAUUCGAUCGUUGGUAUACCGACACCUUGUUCAAUCUCGUUACCGGCAAGUCUCUUUACUCGUUCCGUAACACAUCAUCCCGUGAUCAACCCUUGGUCACAUUGUGCACAUUAUGAUGAUGUCCUAUCGAGUGGGCCCAGAGAUACCUCUCCAUUUACACAAAGUGACAAAUCCCAAUCUCGAUUUGUGCCAACCCAACAGACACUUUCAGAGAUACCCGUAGUGUACCUUUAUAGCCACCCAGUUACGUUGUGACGUUUGGCACACCCAAAGCACUCCUACGGUAUCCGGGAGUUGCACAAUCUCAUGGUCUAAGGAAAUGAUACUUGACAUUAGAAAAGCUUUAGCACACGAACUACAUGAUCUUGUGCUAGGCUUAGGAUUGGGUCUUGUCCAUCACAUCCUCCUCCUAAUGAUGUGAUCCCGUUAUCAACGACAUCCAAUGUCCAUGGUCAGGAAACCGUAACCAUCUAUUGAUCAACGAGCUAGUCAACUAGAGGCUUACUAGGGACAUGGUGUUGUCUAUGUAUCAACACAUGUAUCUGAGUUUCCUAUCAAUACAAUUCUAGCAUGGAUAAUAAACGAUUAUCAUGAACAAGGAAAUAUAAUAAUAAUCAAUUUAUUAUUGCCUCUAGGGUAUAUUUCCAACAGUCUCCCACUUGCACUAGAGCAAUAAUCCAGUUCACAUCGCUAUGUGACUAACACUCAAGGUCACAUCCCCAUGUGACUAACACCCAAAGAGUUUACUAGAGUCAAUAAUCUAGUUCACAUCGAUAUGUGAUUAACACUCAAGGUCACAUCCCCAUGUGACUAACACCCAAAGAGUUUACUAGAGUCAAUAAUCUAGUUCACAUUUACCAUGUGAUUAACACUCGAUGAGUUCUGGGUUUGAUCAUGUUAUGCUUGUGAGAGAGGUUAUAGUCAACGGGUCUGAACCUUUCAGAACCGUGUGCGCUUUACAAAUCUCUAUGUCAUCUCCUGGAUGCAGCUACCACGUUCUGUUUGGAGCUAUUCCAAAUAACUGUUCUACUAUACGAAUCCAGUUUACUACUCAUAAUAAUCUGGAUUAGUGUCAAAGUUUGCAUCGGCGUAACCCUUUACGACGAACUCUUUUUCCCACCUCCAUAAUCGAGAAAAUUCCUUAGUCCACUAGUUACUAAGGAUAACUUUGACCGCUGUCCUGUGAUCCAUUCUUGGAUCACUCUUGUACCCCUUGACUGACUCAUGGCAAGGCACACUUCAGGUGCGGUACAUAGCACAACAUACUGUAGAGCCUAUGUCUUAAGCAUAGGGGACGACCUUCGUCCUUUCUCUCUAUUCUGCCAUGGUCGAGCUUUAAGUCUUAAAUUCAUACCUUACCACUCAGGCAAGAACUCCUUCUUUGACUGGUCCAUCUUGAACACCUUCAAGAUCAUGUCAAGGUAUGUGCUCAUUUGGAAGUACCAUUAAGCGUUUUGAUCUAUCCUUAUAGAUCUUGAUGCUCAAUGUUCAAGUAGCUUAAUCCAGGCUUUCCAUUGAAAAACACUUUCCAAAUAACCCUACAUGCUUUCCAGAAAUUCUACAUCAUUUUUGAUCCACAAUAUGUCAACAACAUAUAUUCAUCAAAAAAUCUAUAGUGCUCCCACUCACUUCUUUGGAAAUACAAGUUUCUCAUAAACUUUGUAUAAACCCAAAAUCUUUGAUCAUCUCAUCAAAGCAUACAUUCCAACUCCGAGAUGCUUACUCCAGUCCUUAGAAGGAUUGCUGGGGCUUUGCAUACUUAUUAGCAUCUUUCAGGAUUGACAAAACCUUCCGGUUGUAUCACAUACAACCUUUCCUCAAGAAAAUCAUCAAGGAAACAAUGUUUUGACAUCCUAUCUGCAAGAUUUCAUAAAUAAUGCAGUAAUCGCUAAUAUAAUUCCAACAGACUCUUAGCAUCGCUACGAGUGAGAAAGUCUCAUCGUAGUCAACUCCUUGAACUUGUCGGAAAACAUCUUAACGACAAGUCGAGAUUUCUUAAUGGUGACAUUUACCAUCAUUGUUCGUCUUCCUUUUAAAAUCCAUCUGCACUCAAUAGCCUUACGACCAUCGAGCCAUUCUGCCAAAGUCUACACUUUGUUUUCAUACAUGGAUCCUCUCUCGGAUUUUAUGGCCUCGAGCCAUUUAUCGGAAUCCGGGCCCACCAUCGCUUCUCCACAGCUCGUAGGUUCAUUGUUGUCUAGCAACAUGACUUAUAAGACAGGAUUACGUACCACUCAGAAGUAGUACGCAUCCUUGUCAUCCUACGAGGUUUGGGAGUGACUUGAUCCGAAGUCUCAUGAUCAAUAUCAUAAGCUUCCACUUCAAUUGGUGUAGGUGCCACAGGAACAACUUCCUGUGCCCUGCCACACACUAGUUGAAGAUACGGUUCAAUAACCUCAUCAAGUCUCCACCAUCCUCCCACUCAAUUCUUUCGAGAGAAACUUUUCCUCGAGAAAGGACUCGAUUCUAGAAACAAUCCCUUAUUGCUUUCGGAUCUGAGACAGGAGGUAUACCCAACUAUUUUGGGUGUCCUAUGAAGAUGCAUUUAUCCGCUUUGGGUUCGAGCUUAUCAGCCUGAAACUUUUUCACAUAAGCAUUGCAGCCCCAAACUUUUAAGAAAUGACAGCUUAGGUUUCUCUAAACCAUAGUUCAUACGGUGUCAUCUCAUCGGAAUUACGUGGUGCCCUAUUUAAAGUGAAUGCGGUUGUCUCUAAUGCCUAACCCAUAAACUUUCAUGGUAAUUCAAUAAGAGACAUCAUGGUAUGCAUCAUAUCCAAUAGGGUGCAAUUAUGAUGUUCGGACACACCAUCACACUAUGGUGUUCCAGGCUGUAUCAGUUGUGAAACAAUUUCCACAAUGUCUUAAUUCUGUGCCAAACUCGUAAUUCAGAUAUUCAUCUCUAUGAUCAUAUCAUAAAUCUUUUAUCCUCUUGUCACGACGAUCUUUAAACUUCACCCUGAAAUUACUUGAACCUUUCAAUAAUUCAGACUCGUGAUUCAUCAAGUAAAUAUUCUCAACAUCUACUCAAAUCAUCUGUGAAGUAAGAACAUAACGAUAUCCACUACGCGCCUCAGCACUCAUUGGACUGCACACAUCAAAAUGUAUUACUUCCAACAAGUUGCUUUCCAGUUCCAUUUUACUGAAAACGAGGCUUUCAGACAUCUUGCCCAUGUGGUAUGAUUUGCAUGUCUCAAGUGAUUCAAAAAUCAAGUGAGUCCAAAUGAUCCAUCUGUAUAGAGUUUCUUCAUGCAUAUCUACCAACAAACAUGGUUCGCAUGUCUCAAUCCUUUCAAAAACGAGUGAGCCAAAAGAUCCAUCAACAUGGAGCUUCUUCAUGCAUUUUAUACCGAUAUGACUUAAGUGGCAGUGCCACAAGUAGGUGGUACUAUCAUUACUAUCUUUUGGCAUGAACAUGUGUAUCACUACGAUCGAGAUUCAAUAAACCAUUCAUUUCAGGUGUAAGACCAUUUGAAGGUAUUAUUCAAAUAAACAGAGUAACCAUUAUUCUCCUUAAAUGAAUAACCGUAUUGCGAUAGACAUAAUCCAGUCAUGUCUAUGCUCAACGCAAACACCAAAUAACAAUUAUUUAGGUUUUAAUACCAAUCUCGUUGGUAGAGGGAGCGUGCGAUGCUUGAUCAUAUCAACAUUGGAAACACUUCCAACACAUAUCGUCAGCUCACCUUUAGCUAGUCUCCGUUUAUUCCGUAGCUUUUAUUUCGAGUUACUAACACUUAGCAACCGAACCGGUAUCUAAUACCCUGGUGCUACUAGGAGUACUAGUAAAGUACACAUCAACACAAUGUAUAUCCAAUAUACUUCUAUCGACCUUGCCAGCCUUCUAAUCUACCAAGUAUCUAGGGUAAUUCUGCUCCAGUGGCUGUUCCCCUUAUUACAGAAGCACUUAGUCUCGGGUUUGGGUUCAACUUUGGGUUUCUUCACUAGAGCAGCAGCUGAAUUGCCGUUUCAUGAAGUAUCCCUUCUUGCCCUUGCCCUUCUUGAAACUAGUGGUUUCACCAACCAUCAACAAUUGAUGCUCCUUCUUGAUUUCUACUUUUGUGGUGUCAAACAUCGCGAAUAUCUCAAGGAUCAUCAUAUAUGUCCCUGAUAUAUUAUAGUUCAUCACGAAGCUCUAGCAGCUUGGUGGUAAUGACUUCGGAGAACCAUCACUAUUUCAUCUGGAAGAUCAACUCCCACUCGAUUCAAGCGAUUGUUGUACUCAGACAAUCUGAGCACAAGCACAACAAUUGAGCUUUUCUCCUUAGUUUGCAGGCUAAGAAAAUCGUCGGAGGUCUUAUACCUCUUGACGUGGGCACGAGCCUGAAAUCCCAAUUUCAGCCCUCGAAACAUCUCAUAUGUUUUGCGACGUUCCAAAACGUCUUCGGUGCCUCAACUCUAAGCCGUUUAACUGAACUAUCACGUAGUUAUCAAAAUUUGUAUGUCAGAUGUUCCCAACAUCUACAGACGACGUUCGAAGUUCAGCACACUGAGCGGUGCAUUAAGGACAUAAGCCUUCUAUGAAGCAAAUGAGGACAAACCUCAGUUUACAGACCUAGUCUGCAUAACAACUACUAUCAACUUUCAACUAAAAUUUUUCUCUAGGAACAUAUCUAAACAGUAGAACUAUAGCGUGAGCUACGACAUAAUUUGCAAAAUCCUUUUGACUAUGUUCAGGAUAAUUAAGUUCAUCUUAUGAACUCCCACUCAGAUAGACAUCCCUCUAGUCAUCUAAGUGAUUACAUGAUCCGAGUCAACUAGGCCGUGUCCGAUCAUCACGUGAGACGGACUAGUCAACAUCGGUGAACAUCUUCAUGUUGAUCGUAUCUUCUAUACGACUCAUGCUCGACCUUUCGGUCUUCUGUGUUCCGAGGCCAUGUCUGUACAUGCUAGGCUCGUCAAGUUAACCCUAAGUGUUUCGCGUGUGUAAAUCUGUCUUACACCCGUUGUAUGUGAACGUUAGAAUCUAACACCCGAUCAUCACGUGGUGCUUCGAAACACGAACUGUCGCAACGGUGCACAGUUAGGGGAGAACACUUCUUGAAAUUGUUGUAAGGGAUCAUCUUAUUUACUACCGUCGUUAUAAGCAAAUAAGAUGUAUAAACAUGAUAAACAUCACAUGCAAUCAAAUAGUAGUGACAUGAUAUGGCCAAUAUCAUAUAGCUCCUUUGAUCUCCAUCAUGGGGCUCCAUGAUCAUCUCGUCACCGGCAUGACACCAUGAUCUCCAUCAUCAUGAUCUCCAUCAUCGUGUCUUCAUGAAGUUGUGUCAUCAUCUAUUACUUAUACUACUACAGCUAACGGUUAGCAAUAAAGUAAAGUAAUUACAUGACGUUUAUGUUGACACGCAGGUCAUAAAUAAAUAAAGACAACUCCAAUGGCUCCUGCCGGUUGUCAUACUCAUCGACAUGCAAGUCGUGAUUCCUAUUACAAGAACAUGAUCGAUCUCAUACAUCACAUAUAUCAUUCAUCACAUCCUUUGGCCAUAUCACAUCACAUAGCAUACCCUGCAAAAACAAGUUAGACAUCCUCUAAUUGUUGUUUGCAUGUUUUACGUGGCUGCUAUGGGAUUCUAGCAAGAACGUUUCUUACCUACGCAAAGACCACAACGUGAUAUGCCAAUUGCUAUUUACCCUUCAUAAGGACCAUGUUCAUCGAAUCCGAUCCGACUAAAGUGGGAGAGACAGACACCCGCCAGCCACCUUAUGCAACUAGUGCAUGUUUGUCGGUGGAACCGGUCUCACGUAAGCGUACGUGUAAGGUUGGUCCGGGCCGCUUCAUCCCACGAUGCCGCCGAAUCAAGAUAAGACUAGUAACGGCAAGCAUAUUGAACAAAAUCAACGCCCACAACUACUUUGUGUUCUACUCGUGCAUAGAAACUACGCAUAGACCUAGCUCAUGAUGCCACUGUUGGGGAACGUAGCAGAAAUUCAAAAUUUUCCUACGUGUCACCAAGAUCUAUCUAUGGAGAGACCAGCAACGAGGGGAAGGAGAGUGCAUCUACAUACCCUUGUAGAUCGCUAAGCGGAAGCGUUCAAGUGAACGGGGUUGAUGGAGUCGUACUCGUCGUGAUUCAGAUCACCGAUGAUCCUAGUGCCGAACGGACGGCACCUCCGCGUUCAACACACGUACAGCCCGGUGACGUCUCCCACGCCUUGAUCCAGCAAGGAGAGAGGGAGAGGUUGAGGAAGACUCCAUCCAGCAGCAGCACAACGGCGUGGUGGUGGUGGAGGAGCCCGGCAAUCCUGCAGGGCUUCGCCAAGCACCACGGGAGAGGAGAAGGACUUAGGAGAGAGGGAGGGGCUGCACCAAAGGCAUAAGGGGUUCCUCAAGAGGCCCUCUACCCCCACUAUAUAUAGGGGUCCCAAGGGGGGGUGCGCCAGCCCUAGGAGAUCCAAUCUCCUAGGGGGCGGCGGCCAGGGGAGGAGUCCAUCCCCCCCAAGGCACCUAGGAGGUGCCUUCCCCUUCUGGGACUCUUCCUUUUAGGGUUCCCUAGGCGCAUGGGCCUCUUGGGGCUGGUGCCCUAGGCCCAUGUAGGCCAAGGCGCACCCCCUACAGCCCAUGUGGCCCCCCGGGGUAGGUGGCCCCACCCGGUGGGCCCCUGGGACCCUUCCGGUGGUCCCGGUACAAUACCAAUGACCCCGAAACUUGUCCCGAUGGCCGAAACAGGACUUCCUAUAUAUAAAUCUUUACCUCCGGACCAUUCUGGAACUCCUCGUGACGUUCGGGAUCUCAUCCGGGACUCCGAACAACAUUCGGUAACCACAUACAAGCUUCCUUUAUAACCCUAGCGUCAUCGAACCUUAAGUGUGUAGACCCUACGGGUUCGGGAGACAUGUAGUCAUGACCGAGACGUUCUCCGGUCAAUAACCAACAGCGGGAUCUGGAUACCCAUGUUGGCUCCCACAUGUUCACGAUGAUCUCAUCGGAUGAACCACGAUGUCAAGGACUCAAUCAAUCCCGUAUACAAUUCCCUUUGUCUAGCGGUAUGGUACUUGCCCGAGAUUCGAUCGUUGGUAUACCGAUACCUUGUUCAAUCUCGUUACCGGCAAGUCUCUUUACUCGUUCCGUAACACAUCAUCCCGUGAUGAACCCUUGGUCACAUUGUGCACAUUAUGAUGAUGUCCUACCGAGUGGGCCCAGAGAUACCUCUCCAUUUACACGAAGUGACAAAUCCCAAUCUCGAUUUGUGCCAACCCAACAGACACUUUCAGAGAUACCCAUAGUGUACCUUUAUAGCCACCCAGUUACGUUGUGACGUUUGGCACACCCAAAGCACUCCUACGGUAUCCGGGAGUUGCACAAUCUCAUGGUCUAAGGAAAUGAUACUUGACAUUAGAAAAGCUUUAGCAUACGAACUACAUGAUCUUGUGCUACGCUUAGGAUUGGGUCUUGUCCAUCACAUCAUUCUCCUAAUGAUGUGAUCCCGUUAUCAACGACAUCCAAUGUCCAUGGUCAGGAAACCGUAACCAUCUAUUGAUCAACGAGCUAGUCAACUAGAGGCUUACUAGGGACAUGGUGUUGUCUAUGUAUCAACACAUGUAUCUGAGUUUCCUAUCAAUACAAUUCUAGCAUGGAUAAUAAACGAUUAUCAUGAACAAGGAAAUAUAAUAAUAAUCAAUUUAUUAUUGCCUCUAGGGUAUAUUUCCAACAGUCUCCCACUUGCACUAGAGCAAUAAUCCAGUUCACAUCGCUAUGUGACUAACACUCAAGGUCACAUCCCCAUGUGACAAACACCCAAAGAGUUUACUAGAGUCAAUAAUCUAGUUCACAUCGAUAUGUGAUUAACACUCAAGGUCACAUCCCCAUGUGACUAACACCCAAAGAGUUUACUAGAGUCAAUAAUCUAGUUCACAUUUACCAUGUGAUUAACACUCGAUGAGUUCUGGGUUUGAUCAUGUUAUGCUUGUGAGAGAGGUUAUAGUCAACGGGUCUGAACCUUUCAGAACCGUGUGCGCUUUACAAAUCUCUAUGUCAUCUCCUGGAUGCAGCUACCACGUUCUGUUUGGAGCUAUUCCAAAUAACUGUUCUACUAUACGAAUCCAGUUUACUACUCAUAAUAAUCUGGAUUAGUGUCAAAGUUUGCAUCGGCGUAACCCUUUACGACGAACUCUUUUUCCCACCUCCAUAAUCGAGAAAAUUCCUUAGUCCACUAGUUACUAAGGAUAACUUUGACCGCUGUCCUGUGAUCCAUUCUUGGAUCACUCUUGUACCCCUUGACUGACUCAUGGCAAGGCACACUUCAGGUGCGGUACAUAGCACAACAUACUGUAGAGCCUAUGUCUUAAGCAUAGGGGACGACCUUCGUCCUUUCUCUCUAUUCUGCCAUGGUCGAGCUUUAAGUCUUAAAUUCAUACCUUACCACUCAUGCAAGAACUCCUUCUUUGACUGGUCCAUCUUGAACACCUUCAAGAUCAUGUCAAGGUAUGUGCUCAUUUGGAAGUACCAUUAAGCGUUUUGAUCUAUCCUUAUAGAUCUUGAUGCUCAAUGUUCAAGUAGCUUAAUCCAGGCUUUCCAUUGAAAAACACUUUCCAAAUAACCCUACAUGCUUUCCAGAAAUUCUACAUCAUUUCUGAUCCACAAUAUGUCAACAACAUAUAUUCAUCAAAAAAUCUAUAGUGCUCCCACUCACUUCUUUGGAAAUACAAGUUUCUCAUAAACUUUGUAUAAACCCAAAAUCUUUGAUCAUCUCAUCAAAGCAUACAUUCCAACUCCGAGAUGCUUACUCCAGUCCUUAGAAGGAUUGCUGGGGCUUUGCAUACUUAUUAGCAUCUUUCAGGAUUGACAAAACCUUCCGGUUGUAUCACAUACAACCUUUCCUCAAGAAAAUCAUCAAGGAAACAAUGUUUUGACAUCCUAUCUGCAAGAUUUCAUAAAUAAUGCAGUAAUCGCUAAUAUAAUUCCAACAGACUCUUAGCAUCGCUACGAGUGAGAAAGUCUCAUCGUAGUCAACUCCUUGAACUUGUCGGAAAACAUCUUAACGACAAGUCGAGCUUUCUUAAUGGUGACAUUUACCAUCAUUGUUCGUCUUCCUUUUAAAAUCCAUCUGCACUCAAUAGCCUUACGACCAUCGAGCCAUUCUGCCAAAGUCUACACUUUGUUUUCAUACAUGGAUCCUCUCUCGGAUUUUAUGGCCUCGAGCCAUUUAUCGGAAUCCGGGCCCACCAUCGCUUCUCCACAGCUCGUAGGUUCAUUGUUGUCUAGCAACAUGACUUAUAAGACAGGAUUACGUACCACUCAGAAGUAGUACGCAUCCUUGUCAUCCUACGAGGUUUGGGAGUGACUUGAUCCGAAGUCUCAUGAUCAAUAUCAUAAGCUUCCACUUCAAUUGGUGUAGGUGCCACAGGAACAACUUCCUGUGCCCUGCCACACACUAGUUGAAGAUACGGUUCAAUAACCUCAUCAAGUCUCCACCAUCCUCCCACUCAAUUCUUUCGAGAGAAACUUUUCCUCGAGAAAGGACUCGAUUCUAGAAACAAUCCCUUAUUGCUUUCGGAUCUGAGACAGGAGGUAUACCCAACUAUUUUGGGUGUCCUAUGAAGAUGCAUUUAUCCGCUUUGGGUUCGAGCUUAUCAGCCUGAAACUUUUUCACAUAAGCAUUGCAGCCCCAAACUUUUAAGAAAUGACAGCUUAGGUUUCUCUAAACCAUAGUUCAUACGGUGUCAUCUCAUCGGAAUUACGUGGUGCCCUAUUUAAAGUGAAUGCGGUUGUCUCUAAUGCCUAACCCAUAAACUUUCAUGGUAAUUCGAUAAGAGACAUCAUGGUAUGCAUCAUAUCCAAUAGGGUGCAAUUAUGAUGUUCGGACACACCAUCACACUAUGGUGUUCCAGGCUGUAUCAGUUGUGAAACAAUUUCCACAAUGUCUUAAUUCUGUGCCAAACUCGUAAUUCAGAUAUUCAUCUCUAUGAUCAUAUCAUAAAUCUUUUAUCCUCUUGUCACGACGAUCUUUAAACUUCACCCUGAAAUUACUUGAACCUUUCAAUAAUUCAGACUCGUGAUUCAUCAAGUAAAUAUUCUCAACAUCUACUCAAAUCAUCUGUGAAGUAAGAACAUAAUGAUAUCCACUACGCGCCUCAGCACUCAUUGGACUGCACACAUCAAAAUGUAUUACUUCCAACAAGUUGCUUUCCAGUUCCAUUUUACUGAAAACGAGGCUUUCAGACAUCUUGCCCAUGUGGUAUGAUUUGCAUGUCUCAAGUGAUUCAAAAAUCAAGUGAGUCCAAAUGAUCCAUCUGUAUAGAGUUUCUUCAUGCAUAUCUACCAACAAACAUGGUUCGCAUGUCUCAAUCCUUUCAAAAACGAGUGAGCCAAAAGAUCCAUCAACAUGGAGCUUCUUCAUGCAUUUUAUACCGAUAUGACUUAAGUGGCAGUGCCACAAGUAGGUGGUACUAUCAUUACUAUCUUUUGGCAUGAACAUGUGUAUCACUACGAUCGAGAUUCAAUAAACCAUUCAUUUCAGGUGUAAGACCAUUUGAAGGUAUUAUUCAAAUAAACAGAGUAACCAUUAUUCUCCUUAAAUGAAUAACCGUAUUGCGAUAGACAUAAUCCAGUCAUGUCUAUGCUCAACGCAAACACCAAAUAACAAUUAUUUAGGUUUUAAUACCAAUCUCGUUGGUAGAGGGAGCGUGCGAUGCUUGAUCAUAUCAACAUUGGAAACACUUCCAACACAUAUCGUCAGCUCACCUUUAGCUAGUCUCCGUUUAUUCCGUAGCUUUUAUUUCGAGUUACUAACACUUAGCAACCGAACCGGUAUCUAAUACCCUGGUGCUACUAGGAGUACUAGUAAAGUACACAUCAACACAAUGUAUAUCCAAUAUACUUCUAUCGACCUUGCCAGCCUUCUAAUCUACCAAGUAUCUAGGGUAAUUCUGCUCCAGUGGCUGUUCCCCUUAUUACAGAAGCACUUAGUCUCGGGUUUGGGUUCAACUUUGGGUUUCUUCACUAGAGCAGCAGCUGAAUUGCCGUUUCAUGAAGUAUCCCUUCUUGCCCUUGCCCUUCUUGAAACUAGUGGUUUCACCAACCAUCAACAAUUGAUGCUCCUUCUUGAUUUCUACUUUUGUGGUGUCAAACAUCGCGAAUAUCUCAAGGAUCAUCAUAUAUGUCCCUGAUAUAUUAUAGUUCAUCACGAAGCUCUAGCAGCUUGGUGGUAAUGACUUCGGAGAACCAUCACUAUUUCAUCUGGAAGAUCAACUCCCACUCGAUUCAAGCGAUUGUUGUACUCAGACAAUCUGAGCACAAGCACAACAAUUGAGCUUUUCUCCUUAGUUUGCAGGCUAAGAAAAUCGUCGGAGGUCUUAUACCUCUUGACGUGGGCACGAGCCUGAAAUCCCAAUUUCAGCCCUCGAAACAUCUCAUAUGUUUUGCGACAUUCCAAAACGUCUUCGGUGCCUCAACUCUAAGCCGUUUAACUGAACUAUCACGUAGUUAUCAAAAUUUGUAUGUCAGAUGUUCCCAACAUCUACAGACGACGUUCGAAGUUCAGCACACUGAGCGGUGCAUUAAGGACAUAAGCCUUCUAUGAAGCAAAUGAGGACAAACCUCAGUUUACAGACCUAGUCUGCAUAACAACUACUAUCAACUUUCAACUAAAAUUUUUCUCUAGGAACAUAUCUAAACAGUAGAACUAUAGCGUGAGCUACGACAUAAUUUGCAAAAUCCUUUUGACUAUGUUCAGGAUAAUUAAGUUCAUCUUAUGAACUCCCACUCAGAUAGACAUCCCUCUAGUCAUCUAAGUGAUUACAUGAUCCGAGUCAACUAGGCCGUGUCCGAUCAUCACGUGAGACGGACUAGUCAACAUCGGUGAACAUCUUCAUGUUGAUCGUAUCUUCUAUAUGACUCAUGCUCGACCUUUCGGUCUUCUGUGUUCCGAGGCCAUGUCUGUACAUGCUAGGCUCGUCAAGUUAACCCUAAGUGUUUCGCGUGUGUAAAUCUAUCUUACACCCGUUGUAUGUGAACGUUAGAAUCUAACACCCGAUCAUCACGUGGUGCUUCGAAACACGAACUGUCGCAACGGUGCACAGUUAGGGGAGAACACUUCUUGAAAUUGUUGUAAGGGAUCAUCUUAUUUACUACCGUCGUUAUAAGCAAAUAAGAUGUAUAAACAUGAUAAACAUCACAUGCAAUCAAAUAGUAGUGACAUGAUAUGGCCAAUAUCAUAUAGCUCCUUUGAUCUCCAUCAUGGGGCUCCAUGAUCAUCUCGUCACCGGCAUGACACCAUGAUCUCCAUCAUCAUGAUCUCCAUCAUCGUGUCUUCAUGAAGUUGUGUCGUCAUCUAUUACUUAUACUACUACAGCUAACGGUUAGCAAUAAAGUAAAGUAAUUACAUGACGUUUAUGUUGACACGCAGGUCAUAAAUAAAUAAAGACAACUCCUAUGGCUCCUGCCGAUUGUCAUACUCAUCGACAUGCAAGUCGUGAUUCCUAUUACAAGAACAUGAUCAAUCUCAUACAUCACAUAUAUCAUUCAUCACAUCCUUUGGCCAUAUCACAUCACAUAGCAUACCCUGCAAAAACAAGUUAGACAUCCUCUAAUUGUUGUUUGCAUGUUUUACGUGGCUGCUAUGGGAUUCUAGCAAGAACGUUUCUUACCUACGCAAAGACCACAACGUGAUAUGCCAAUUGCUAUUUACCCUUCAUAAGGACCAUGUUCAUCGAAUCCGAUCCGACUAAAGUGGGAGAGACAGACACCCGCCAGCCACCUUAUGCAACUAGUGCAUGUUUGUCGGUGGAACCGGUCUCACGUAAGCGUACGUGUAAGGUUGGUCCGGGCCGCUUCAUCCCACGAUGCCGCCGAAUCAAGAUAAGACUAGUAACGGCAAGCAUAUUGAACAAAAUCAACGCCCACAACUACUUUGUGUUCUACUCGUGCAUAGAAACUACGCAUAGACCUAGCUCAUGAUGCCACUGUUGGGGAACGUAGCAGAAAUUCAAAAUUUUCCUACGUGUCACCAAGAUCUAUCUAUGGAGAGACCAGCAACGAGGGGAAGGAGAGUGCAUCUACAUACCCUUGUAGAUCGCUAAGCGGAAGCGUUCAAGUGAACGGGGUUGAUGGAGUCGUACUCGUCGUGAUUCAGAUCACCGAUGAUCCUAGUGCCGAACGGACGGCACCUCCGCGUUCAACACACGUACAGCCCGGUGACGUCUCCCACGCCUUGAUCCAGCAAGGAGAGAGGGAGAGGUUGAGGAAGACUCCAUCCAGCAGCAGCACAAUGGCGUGGUGGUGGUGGAGGAGCCCGGCAAUCCUGCAGGGCUUCGCCAAGCACCACGGGAGAGGAGAAGGACUUAGGAGAGAGGGAGGGGCUGCACCAAAGGCAUAAGGGGUUCCUCAAGAGGCCCUCUACCCCCACUAUAUAUAGGGGUCCCAAGGGGGGGUGCGCCAGCCCUAGGAGAUCCAAUCUCCUAGGGGGCGGCGGCCAGGGGAGGAGUCCAUCCCCCCCAAGGCACCUAGGAGGUGCCUUCCCCUUCUGGGACUCUUCCUUUUAGGGUUCCCUAGGCGCAUGGGCCUCUUGGGGCUGGUGCCCUAGGCCCAUGUAGGCCAAGGCGCACCCCCUACAGCCCAUGUGGCCCCCCGGGGUAGGUGGCCCCACCCGGUGGGCCCCUGGGACCCUUCCGGUGGUCCUGGUACAAUACCAAUGACCCCGAAACUUGUCCCGAUGGCCGAAACAGGACUUCCUAUAUAUAAAUCUUUACCUCCGGACCAUUCCGGAACUCCUCGUGACGUUCGGGAUCUCAUCCGGGACUCCGAACAACAUUCGGUAACCACAUACAAGCUUCCUUUAUAACCCUAGCGUCAUCGAACCUUAAGUGUGUAGACCCUACGGGUUCGGGAGACAUGUAGUCAUGACCGAGACGUUCUCCAGUCAAUAACCAACAGCGGGAUCUGGAUACCCAUGUUGGCUCCCACAUGUUCACGAUGAUCUCAUCGGAUGAACCACGAUGUCAAGGACUCAAUCAAUCCCGUAUACAAUUCCCUUUGUCUAGCGGUAUGGUACUUGCCCGAGAUUCGAUCGUUGGUAUACCGAUACCUUGUUCAAUCUCGUUACCGGCAAGUCUCUUUACUCGUUCCGUAACACAUCAUCCCGUGAUGAACCCUUGGUCACAUUGUGCACAUUAUGAUGAUGUCCUACCGAGUGGGCCCAGAGAUACCUCUCCAUUUACACGAAGUGACAAAUCCCAAUCUCGAUUUGUGCCAACCCAACAGACACUUUCAGAGAUACCCGUAGUGUACCUUUAUAGCCAUCCAGUUACGUUGUGACGUUUGGCACACCCAAAGCACUCCUACGGUAUCCGGGAGUUGCACAAUCUCAUGGUCUAAGGAAAUGAUACUUGACAUUAGAAAAGCUUUAGCAUACGAACUACAUGAUCUUGUGCUACGCUUAGGAUUGGGUCUUGUCCAUCACAUCAUUCUCCUAAUGAUGUGAUCCCGUUAUCAACGACAUCCAAUGUCCAUGGUCCGGAAACCGUAACCAUCUAUUGAUCAACGAGCUAGUCAACUAGAGGCUUACUAGGGACAUGGUGUUGUCUAUGUAUCCACACAUGUAUCUGAGUUUCCUAUCAAUACAAUUCUAGCAUGGAUAAUAAACGAUUAUCAUGAACAAGGAAAUAUAAUAAUAAUCAAUUUAUUAUUGCCUCUAGGGUAUAUUUCCAACAGUUUGUUAGCCAGAAAAAGGAAUUGAUGGAAAUUAUUCAAGCUGCCCCUGGUAGAGUUAGUUUCACAUCCGACAAUUGGAAAUCUGAAGUCACCAAGCAUAGCUAUAUUUGCAUUACUUGCCAUUACAUAGAUGCUGAUUGGAAACUAAACAAAAGGAUUGUAUGGUUCAAAAAAAUUGAUCCACCCUAUGAUGGAGCAUCUAUUGCCGAUGAGGUUCACCUAGCUUUCCGUGAAUGGAGGGUUGAUAAGAAAGUGAUGUGCAUCACUUUGGAUAAUGCAGCCUAUAAUGAUAGGAUGAUACUUUGCUUGCGUACCCACUUGUCAAAAGGUGCUUUACCUUUGUCCGGUAAAUUCUUCCAAAUUCGUUGUUGUGCACACAUACUGAACUUGGUAGUUCAAGCCGGUUUGACAUUGAUUGACAAGUGUGAUGACAAACUUAGGGAUGGUAUAAUGUACCUAAAGGCUUCAAGCAAUAGGCUGCAUAAGUUUUAUAGUACUGCUACAACUAUUUUCAACCUUGAAGAAACAAAAAGGUUGAAACCUGAUAUGCCCAUCCGUUGGAAUUCAACCUACACUAUGAUUGGCUGCUGUUUGUACUUUAGAGACGUGCUGCAUUGGUAUUUUGAGAGGGACAGCAUAUUCAAGGUGAACUUUUGGCUAUCCGAAGAAGAAUGGGCCAAGGUAUCUCAUAUGUAUCAGUUCUUGGAGGUUUUCUUCAAGGUAACUACAACUUUCUCAGGAACAAAGUAUCCAACAGCCAACUUGUACUUCAUGAAUGUCUAUCGUGUUCAUUCUGCUAUUAUAGAGGCUAGUGCUGGAGUAAAUAGUUACAUGGCUCCAAUGUUGGUAGUUAUGAGGGAGAAAUUCAUGAAAUAUUGGUCUGACUAUAGCGUAUUUCUGUCUUGUGCUGCUGUUCUUGAUCCCCGCAUUAAGUUCAAGUUUUUAGGAUAUGCCUACUCCAAGCUAUAUGAUGGUGAUGAUGCCCUUCAGCGCAUUAAUCUUGUUAAAACUACAAUGACUUCUUUAUUUAAUGAGUAUGGUGCUGGUGUACAUGUCAAUGAAAACUUAGCAACAAGUGCAUCAUCAAGCACGUGUGGACUUGGUGCCUUUUCUGACUAUGAUCAGUACGUGGAAAGCACGAGCUCACAUGAAGAGAGAUCUGAAUUGGAAUUGUAUUUGGCUGAACCUGCAAAGAAGUUGAAUGAAAAUGUCGAUAUCUUGGAUUUCUGGAGUAAGUCUGCAGCUAGGUAUCCGAAACUAGCAAGAAUGGCACGUGAUAUCCUUGCAGUUCCUGUGUCAAGUGUUGCUUCAGAAUCUGCUUUUAGCUUGAGUAAGAAGGUUAUAACCCCGAACCGAAACUCACUUAAACCAAAGACGGUUGAGGCCCUAAUGUGUUUGCAAGAUUGGUAUCGUUGCAAACUGCAGAAAAAAGAAGGUAUCUGUUGUAAUCUUGUUUGUUUCACAUUCUUACUUGCAUGUUUUACUUUCAAAUGAUAAUUAACCCAGUCUAUUGUUGUAGAUAAUAAGAGAAAGGCAGAAGAAGUGAUUGUGCUAGAUAAUGAUGAAGAUUCAUCUUCGGAUGAAGAAUGUAACAUCUCUAUUCUUUGUUCAUGUCAUUGUCAAUUGUCAAGUUGUACUUAUACUACCGCUAACUUUCUGUUCAUUCCAUCUUGUAGAGUUGUUGCUACACUCCUAGAGCAAUGAGAACAGAAUAUUUGGAGAAGGCAUGCCAGCCAUCUACUAGUGUUUAUUUUGGUUCUGGAAUGUAAUGAUAUUCAUGCACUUGUGUUUGUCGAAACUGGAACAUGUAGAACUUUAGAUGCUAUUGUCGAAACUGGAAUGUUUACAUGUUGAAUUGCUGAUUGUCGAAUCUGAAAUGUUUAGCUGCUGUCAAAACUAUGAUGUUCUGCUAUCAAAACUACUGCCUUUUGCUGCUGUUCUGCUG